rnacentral:rRNA from 1 species
GGCUCAGAUUGAACGCUGGCGGGAUACUUUACACAUGCAAGUCGAACGGCAGCACGGACUCGGUCUGGUGGCGAGUGGCGAACGGGUGAGUAAUGUAUCGGAACGUGCCUAGUAGCGGGGGAUAACUACGCCGAAGGCAUGCUUCAAUACCACGCCACGCCCUUCGGGGAAAGCAGGGGACCUUCGGGCCUCGCACUAUUAGAGCGGCCGAUAUCGGAUUAGCUAGUUGGUGGGGUAACGGCUCACCAAGGCGACGAUCCGUAGCUGGUUUGAGAGGACGACCGGCCACACUGGGACGGGAACGGCCCAGACUCCUGCAGGAGGCAGCAGUGGGGAAUUUUGGACAAUAGGGGAAACCCUGAUCCAGCCAUCCCGCGUGCGAUGAAGGCCUUCGGGUUGUAAAGCACUUUUGGCAGGAAGAAACAGCACGGGAUAAUACCCCGUGCAACUGACCGUACCUGCAGAAUAAGCACCGGCUAACUACGUGCCAGCAACCGCGGUAAUACGUAGGGUGCAAGCGUUAAUCGGAAUUACUGGGCGUAAAGCGUGCGCAGGCGGUUCCGGAAGAAAGAUGUGAAAUCCCAGAGCUUAACUGAACUGCAUUUUUAACUACCGAGCUAGAGUGUGUCAGAGAGUGGAAUUCCGCGUGUAGCAGUGAAAUGCGUAGAUAUGCGGAGGAACACCGAUGACGAGGCAGCCUCCUGGAUAACACUGACGCUCAUGCACGAAAGCGUAAGGAGCAAACAGGAUUAGAUACCCUGGUAAUGCGCCUAAACGAUGUCAACUAGCUGUUGGGGGCCUUCGGGCCUUGUUAGCGCAACUAACGUGAAAGUUGACCGCCUGGGAAGUACGGUCGCAAGAUUAAAACUCAAGGAAUUGACGGGGACCGCACAAGCGGUGGAUGAUGUGGAUUAAUUCGAUGCAACGCGAAAAACCUUACCUACCCUUGACAUGUCUGGAAUCCCGAAGAGAUUUGGGAGUGCUCGCAAGAGAACCGGAACACAGGUGCUGCAUGGCUGUCGUCAGCUCGUGUCGUGAGAUGUUGGGUUAAGUCCCAUAACGAGCGCAACCCUUUGUCAUUAGUUGCUACGAAAAGGCAUCUGUGCGAGACUGCCGGUGACAAACCGGAGGAAGGUGGGGAUGACGUCAAAGUCCUCUUCAGCCCCUUAUGGGUAGGGCUUCACACGUCAUACAAUGGUCGGGACAGAGGGUCGCCAACCCGCGAGGGGGAGCCAAUCCCAGAAACCCGAUCGUAGUCCGGAUCGCAGUCUGCAACUCGACUGCGUGGAAGUCGGAAUCACUAAUCGCGGAUCAGCAUGUCGCGGUGAAUACGUUCCCAGGUCUUGUACACACCGCCCGUCACACCAUGGGAGUGGGUUUUACCAGAAGUAGUUAGCCUAACCGUAAGGAGGGCGAUUACCACGGUAGGAUUCAUGACUGGGGUGAAGUCGUAACAAGGUAG